AUUGAACGCUGGCGGCAGGCCUAACACAUGCAAGUCGAGCGAGCGGCGGACGGGUGAGUAAUGUCUGGGAAUCUGCCUGAUGGAGGGGGAUAACUACUGGAAACGGUAGCUAAUACCGCAUACCAUCGGAUGUACCCAUAUGGGAUUAGCUAGUAGGUGGGGUAAAGGCUCACCUAGGCGACGAUCCCUAGCUGGUCUGAGAGGAUGAUCAGCCACACUGGAACUGAGACACGGUCCAGACUCCUACGGGAGGCAGCAGUGGGGAAUAUUGCACAAUGGGAGCAAGCCUGAUGCAGCCAUGCCGCGUGUAUGAAGAAGGCCUUAGGGUUGUAAAGUACUUUCAGCGAGGAGGCGUUACCCGCAGAAGAAGCACCGGCUAACUCCGUGCCAGCAGCCGCGGUAAUUC
rnacentral:rRNA from 1 species